AUUGAACGCUGGCGGCAGGCCUAACACAUGCAAGUCGAACGGUAACAGGAAGAAGCUUGCUUCUUUGCUGACGAGUGGCGGACGGGUGAGUAAUGUCUGGGAAACUGCCUGAUGGAGGGGGAUAACUACUGGAAACGGUAGCUAAUACCGCAUAACGUCGCAAGACCAAAAAGGGGGACCUUCGGGCCUCUUGCCAUCGGAUGUGCCCAGAUGGGAUUAGCUAGUAGGUGGGGUAACGGCUCACCUAGGCGACGAUCCCUAGCUGGUCUGAGAGGAUGACCCGCCAACCUGGAAAUGAGAACAGGUCCAGACCCCUACGGGGGGCAGCCGGGGGGAAUAUUGAAAAAGGGGGGGAAGCCUGAAUGAGGCAUGCCGGGGGUAAGGAAAAAGCCGUCGGGGUGUAAAAUUCUUUCCGGGGGGGGGAAGGGAGUAAAGUUAAAACCCUUGCCCCUUGACGUUACCCGGAAAAGAAACCCCGGCUAACCCCG
rnacentral:rRNA from 1 species